GAUGAACGCUAGCUACAGGCUUAACACAUGCAAGUCGAGCGCCGCGCGCACGGGUGUGUUACACGUAUCCAACCUGCCCUUUACUCGGGGAUAGCCUUUCGAAAGGAAGAAUAAUACACGAUAUAAUGGAUGGGGAUGCGUUGCAUUAGUUGGUUGGUGAGGUACCGGCCCACCAAGCCUUCGAUGGAUAGGGGUUGUGAGAGGAAGGUCCCCCACAUUGGAACUGAGGCACAGUCCACACUGCUAGGCGAGGGAGCAGUGAGGAGUAUUAGUCAAUGGGCGCUAGCCUGAACCAGCCAAGUAUCGUGAAGGAUGAUGGCGUAGGGGUCUUAAACUUCUUUGGUAGAAGAAUAUGUAUUAUCUGAAUAAGGAUCGGCUAACUCCGUGCCAGCCGCCGCGGUAAUUC
rnacentral:rRNA from 1 species